AUUAGGACAAAUAGCUGAUGCAUGUGGGGCUUGAAACCUAGAUGACGGGUUGAUAGGUGCAGCAAACCGCCAUGGCCCAUGUAUACCUAUGUAACAAACCUGCACAUUCUGCACAUGUAUUCCAGAACUUAAAGUAAAAGGUAAAAAAAAAAGAACGUGACACCUUCCUCUCCAUGACUGUCUUUCAUGCUCCUGCUUUUGCCAUGUGAUGUGCCUGCUCCCCUUUGCCUUUCACCAUGAUUUUAAGCUUCUUGAAUCCCUCACCAGAAGCCGAGCAAAUGUCAGUGCCAUCCUUGUGCAACUUGCAGAACCAUGAGUCAAUUAAAUCUCUUUUCUUUAUAUAUUACCCAGUCUCAGGUAUUUUUCGUUGUUGUUUAAUAAGGAAAGGAUUUCACUAAUUUUUGAAGCAAAUAAGAUUUGUGAGUUUCAAAGAAAAGGCUAACCUUCCUAUAUUAAAUGUUUAUGUCUAAUGUUCCUCAAUUGCAAAUGCAAGUUUUGACCAUUAUGCAAAACAAAGUCCUGGAAUUUACAACAUUUUCUUGAUGGUAUUAACUCUUUUUUCUCUGGCAUGCUAUUGAUAAUAGAUUAGAUUCAAAAGAUUGGCCGUAUUGUUCCCAGUGUCUGGCAGUAUGGAAUGGUUCAGGAGCUCUAAGGUAAAACCUAUAAGUGAAAAAUCAAUGAGAUUUUCAUUCUACAGAUCAAUAGUUUAAAAUGGUACACAGGUACUCAUAUUUGGCAACUUUCUUCUUUAUAGCAAUGUAAGAAUGCCUAGUAGAGUAGGGAUUAGGAGAACUGGUCUUGCUUGGAAAGGUUUGAGGAGGAGAAAGUGGUUAAACAGAAAAUUGAGUAAUAUUUUACUAUAUAAAUGAGAGUUGAAGGAGGGCAACCAGGAGGAAAAAAAAGCAUUACGAAAAACAAGGGAUGAUAGAGAAUGAGAUGUUUCAGGGACAGUUAGUGACUCAAUGUGAGGAGUGUGCAGGGUAUUCGAUGGAACAGUGGUGCUUAAUGGAGCCCCCAAAGCAGACAGAAAAUAGAACAGAAAUGGCCCUGCAUGCCAUGCUAAAGGAUUUGGAAUUGAUCUUGUAUUCACUGGAGAGCCGCAGGAGAAGUAUAAUAAAGGGAACAAAAGUGGACUUCAGAAUGUAGUCUGUGUGGCAUGAGAAGAUAAAUUCAGAGCACUUUCAGAAAGAAAGCAGAAAACCCUAUACUACGGCUAUUUUAUUAAUGCAGGGAAAAAUUAUGGUGUCCUGGCAUAAGAUAGCAGCAGUUGAGAAUGAAGAGGAGGGGCUGGAUUUGAGAUAUAUUAAGAACAUUGAAUCAAUAGGUUGGAAUGGUUGAGCAGUGGGGGAUUGAGGAAUUGGUGAAGAACGUAAAUGAGUCAAGGAUGACUCAUGGAUUCCUAAUUUAUAAAAAAUAAAUAUAAUGGAGACAUAUAAAAUAUAAACAUUCAUUUGGUUUGUGUCAUUUUACUGAAGAAUCCUUGUUUUUAGCAUACUUUUUGUAUCAUAGAUAUUCAUUACCUUGAUUGAAAAUCGAAAGCAGAAGAAAUACAUAAAACAUUCACAACAAAGUUGCAAGAAAAUUGCUUUGAAGAUACAGUUUCCUGUUAUGUUGAUUACUUUGUCCUAGGCUAGUGUCCUUCUUUAUCUAAAUUCUGAAAUAUUAGCUAUUUUUUAUCUGACUUACAUUAUACAUCGUAUUAUGAUGCAUACAUAAAACUUUAACUUUGGGAGUUUGAAAUACACUGGACCAUAAGUUACAUGAGUUUCAGGGCUGUUUACCUCUAUAUUCCCAGCAUUUAGCACAGGGUUUCACACAUAGUAAACACUCAUUCUUGUUAAAUGAAUGAAUGAACAAAUGAAUGAAUGAAUGAAAUAAUUGUUCAAAAAAUACCAAUCAGCUGCUCAAUUUGUCCAGAAUCAUUAAAUAGCAAAUUUCUUUCUGAUAAUAAUGGCAGAAAUAUUUCAGUUCAAUUAGGUUGACAAUCAUAUUUGAGUUUCUGGUACCAAUAUACUACUCUCUGAUACGCAAUAUAAAUAAUAUCUGUAACCUAGUGUUCAUUAUCCAUGAAGUAUAAAUAAUCUUUUCAAAAUUGUUUGGAAAUGAACCAGUGGAUAUGCAUUCAGAAUUACUUUAGUUAAAACUCAAGACAUAUUAAAUGUACAUAGUACGUUCAUGUCCUUCUUUAUUUUGUCCUGUCCCCACUUUGGUUGUUGCCUGGCUGGUUCCCAAAGCAAUUCCGAAUUCCAGCAUGCAGAAUUUUAUGUGAAACUUACCUAAGACAAAGGAUGUUUUAUUUUUUCAAUGACCACUUUCUUUCAUGGCUUGGCACAUAAAAGAUGUAGACUUUCUCACUCUAUUUCUGAAUAAUGGAUUUUAAAACCAUAUUAGACAUCUCCAACAUAAUAUAAACUGAGGGAGUACAUGGUAGAGUAUCUUAGGAAUGUCCUGCCAGUAAACACAAGUAAUUAAUCAACCCACACAUUUUUUUUUGUUAGCCUAAUUUACUCCCAUGAGAUACAGCAGUAGUAAAAUUCAUUCAUCCAACAUUCUUUAAUACUUGCCAGAUAAGAAGGGCUACUUGCCCCCACUUCAGUGACAGGUUAAUAGUUCUAUUUUGGAAAUGUUUGUCUAAAUCCAAGAACUCAGGCUCAGUGCCAUUUAUUUAUUUGGGAGAUUGUUGGCAGGAAAGUACUAUACCCUUACCUGGCAGGAGUAGUGCGGGUGAGGAUUUUGCCUUCAUUUUCAUUUGUGCUUAAUUCAAUCUGAUAGAAAAUAGCUGCAGAGCACAAGUGAGAAGGAAUAUAUACAGAAUUUUCAAGGAAGAAAAAUAAAAUUGGUGUUAAAAUUAACUUCACUUCAACAUCUAAAGUGAAGUCUCAUUAUCCUGUGUACCUCAAGGACAUAUUCUCCAAACUUCUCAGCUAUUUCUGAGGGGCUCUCCACUUAUAUUUCAACUUCCUUCUUUGUAGCCCCAGAUAUAGGCUUACACCUCCUGGCUUGACUGCUUCUCUGAUGCUAUGAACUCUACAUUCAAGUUUCAAGCCAAUAGAGCUCCAAACAUACAAUUUCUCUGUAUCACAUUCACAAUGUUCUCUAGGCUUAAAGGGAGAAGAGUGACCUCCACCCCUCCUGCACUGGAGUAUAUUUCUCUCUCUUAAGACAACCCUCAAUCUACCUCCUAUUUAGUGAUGUUUCCACAUUUACUGUGCAUUUCAGGUAACAGCAGCCACAGGUGGUUACAUCUAUCCUUGCUUUGUACUGUCUAGCUCAACUACCACCACACCUAACUGUACCAUGCCAUUCUACUCCAGUGGCCAGAUGCCAGAUGGGCACUAAGGUGUCUGGCACCAUCCACAGACUGACCAGUAUAUGCCAUAGCCUAGUGCAAGUGCAAGAGGCCAACUCAAUCAGUCUGCCUUUGAAUGCUAGAUCUGGACACCAGAAAAUCUGGACACCAAAAAUCAAGAUGUCCACAUAAGUCAUACUUUCAGGCUGCCCUGAUUAUUUCUCAAGUACCUCAUAGCUAAAAUGUAAAAGGCCUAGCUAUUUUUAAAAAAAUUUUAAAUAGCUCUGAACCCGAGAAUGCUUUAAGUUCACAGUAAUAUAGAUGAAAGCUAAAAUGUCAAAGGUACAGCUAUAAUAACUUAAAAGACAAGUACCUUUGUGAAUCAGAAAUAAUCUAGAAAGAGUUUUAGAAAAUAUAUAAAUCUAUGGUCAUUCUUGGAUCUGGCUGGAGAAGCAGGCAGAACCAGCUAAAUGAUAACAUUGACUUUUUGAUAUGCCAUUCUGCAUACCGGUCUCACAUUCAGGCUGGUAACAGGACGGGUGCAGUUGUUCCUGCCAUCGCAUCUCAUAUUCACAUAGGACCGUAUUAAGAAUAUAAAAAAACUAGAGGAGCACCUAGGUCUCCUUCGUAAGAAAAUCUUUCUGGAAUGCCUCCACGUAGACUUCCCUAUAUAUCCUAUUGGCCAGAAUUUUGUUCUAUAUCCAUUCUUUACCUGAUCACUGGGAAGGCAGAAGGAAUUGCCAUAACUGGAAGAAAAAAACAACCUGUGGAAUAGAAUGUUUGGGAAGAAUCCAGCAAAAAUGCCCACCAUGAUACAUCUUUUGCUCAUACAUUAUGUUAAAAAUGCUGAUGUCAAAAUUAAACACACUCAGUCCUUCUUCAAAUAGAAACAACUCAAAGUUUCAUCCUUGGUCAAAUUCAGUAUUUUGCAUGAUGUGUAAUCCUCAUCACAUCUCUGCUCAGUUUUUCAUGUUCUAUAUCAGAGGUCAGCAAAAUAUGGCCCUAUAGCCAAAUCUGGCCUGCUGCCUGUUUUUGUGUGGCCCACAAACUAAUGUGUGUGUGUGUAUGUGUGUUUACAAUUGUUAAUGUUUACAUUUAAAACAAGAAUAAAUCAUAUUCUUUGUUUUUCCUUUUGUCCUGGAAAUUCUAAAAUAUUUACCAUAUGGUCCUUUGCAGAAAAUGUUUGCCAACUCCUGUUCAAUGGGACUUUGAAUGAAAAGACAAGUUUUCCACCCCAAUAUAACCAAUAUACAAUGAUACAUCAUUUUAAAAAUGUAAUUCUAAAAAGGGAUUGUUGGGUGACACUCUUACAUGAAUUUUGUCCUAAUAUUGGUCUUUGUGAGGGUGGUGGCCAAUGCUCCUUGGAAUGUCCUGCCUAUUCUUUUUUCCUAAUGUGGCCUUACGUAAACUGAGGUCAUGGAAGCAUGAAAUCCAAAAUUUUCUAACAAGGCUUCCAAGGGUGGAUCUUAUUUGUUUCAGUAGAACAAAACUUGCUAUUCUAAUGGUCUCUCCACUUUUCCUUCUGCCUCUGAGCAAGAUGAAGAAAAAAAGAUGAAGCUGUUUUCCAGAGACCAGCACUUCAUCCCUGAGAAAAUGUCAAGAUUAUAGGCAUGCUCUAUAGAAGAUAAUGAGUUAAUACCGAAUGGCUAAAUCAGGGGAGUAUUUGAUUGGGGUUCCCAGAAACCAACAAGAUGUGGAUUCAUAUUCAAAUGCUUCCAGGAGAAUCAAGUAAGGAAGUUAAGAAAGAGAAAGAAAGGAAACAAAGGUUUUAUUAGUCCAUUUUCCCAUUGCUGAUAAAGACAUAACUGAGACUGGACAAUUUACAAAAGAAAGAGGUUUAAUGGACUCAGAGUUUCACAUGGCUGGGGAGGCCUCACAAUCAUGGUGGAAGGUAAAAAGCACGUCUCACGUGGUGGCAGACAAGAGAAGAGAGAACUUGUGUAGGGAAACUCCUCUAUAUAAAACUGUCAGAUCUUGCGAGACUUAUUCACUAUCACAAGAAUAGCACGGGAAAGACCUGCCCUCAUGAUUUAAAUACCUCCCACUGGGUUCCUCCCACAACAUGUGGAAAUUGUGGGAGCUACAAUUCAAGAUGAGAUUUGGGUAGGGAUACAGCCAAACCAUAUCAUAGGGGAUGUCCCUCUCCUAUUAACAUUUUUUAAAAUUAAGCCCUUAGUGAAUCCACUAUCCUGAAGUUCUUCCAUCCUACUGUUCUCAAAGCAGACACUAAAACUAAGGCUUAAAUGCAAAUGGUUUAUUUUGGUCUGUGAUUGGGAAUUAAAGGAAAAAGGAGUGAAGGUAACCAGGAGGCACUCUGGAAUUGAGUUGAUGCCACUGUGAACAACUGGGCUUGGAUUCUACUGGGCACUUCUGAGAUGCUCUUAAAAAUGCACCUCAGAAUUGUCUGCUCAACUUCACUGCAGGAAGGGAGGAUUAGCUCUUGGGCUCCCCUUCUCCAUUUAAUAAAUUUUGCCUCACCGGGCAUUAGCUCCCUCAUAAGCCCAAGUUGCACAAGGGCCAGAGGUAAAAGGCAUACAAUGCAGCUGAAGUGAAGUGCCACCACAUAACACUUGUGCAAAACUGGUGGCUGUGGCAAAAAUUAAAGAAAAGGUGAUCCAUGCAGAUGUGAGCAGGGGACAAGAGUGUCUUACAUAGCCUGCUAUACUUGGAGAGAACAGAAAAUGUAUCAUAAUGCUCCAGCCAUUUCAUUUGAGUCUCAUGCUGAACAAACCUGCUUCCUCAGCACAGUGAAUGAACUCUCAGCUCUGCUAUAUUUGCUAUUUUAAUACUUGAGAUAUGCUUCUUCUAUGGAAGAUCCACAUGUAUUGACUCUCCCUCUAUAGGAUGAACACUUACAUAUUUUGACAGUUAAUGAUAGGUGUCAACUUGGCUGGAUCAAGGAAUGUCUAGAAACCUGGUACAGACUUCUUCUGGGGUCUGUCUGUGAGGGUGUUUUCCCGAGAAGAUUUACAUGUGAGUUUGAGUGGACUAAGCAGGAAGAUCUGCCCUCAGUGUGGGCAGGCAUCAUCCAAUCUACUGGGGAUCCAAAGAGAACAAAAAUAGAGAAUAGGUGUAUGUGUCAAUCUAUCUGCUACAACAAGAAUACACUCUUUCUCUCCUGUCCUUGGACAAAUCUGGGCUCCCCAGCCUUUGGACUUAAGAUUUGAACUCCAAAACUUAAGACCAGUGUCCUCCCAGGUUCUCACACCUUUGGCCUCAGACCCUGAGUUACACCAUCUGUUUUCCUGGUUCCAGGCCUUUGGACUUAGACUGAGUCAAGCUACUGGCAUCUCAGGGUCUCCAGAUUGCAGGUGACCUGUCAUGGGACUUCUCAGCCUCUAUAAUCACAUAAACCAAUCCCCUCAUAAUUCCUGUCUCAUAUAUUUCUAUCUAAUCCUAUUGAUUCUGUCCCUCUGGAAAACCCUGACUGUAUCAGUGUUGAUUUAUAAUUUUUUAAAAUAGUCGCAGAAAUUCAUUUGGGAGAGUAAUUUUUGAUAUCCUCUUAAAAAGUAGGGAACUGAGAUCAAAUAACUUGUCCAAAGUUCCUUUGUAACUUUGCCCUUAGUGUCAAUAUAGUCAGCCCUCCAUAUCUGCAUAUUCAACCAACACUGAAGUAGCUUUAUUGAGUACAAAUGUUCCUUUUACAUUUUUUAAGCACUUGGAAGUUCUCUGAAAAAAAUAAAUAAAUCUGCUAAAAACACAAAUUUUUAUUGGCUUAAAGUAAAUUUUGGUUUUUUGAUUACAUUUUACUAAAAAAAGAUGCCAAAAUAUACUAAUCCUGAAAGAAGAUCUGAUGAGAGAAAAAUAACCAAUAAACUUAAGUCUGCAGCCAUUCUAAGGGCAUUCUGCUACUUUUACUUCCAAGACAAGAAUGAUUUAUCAUUAAAUAUAGUUGAAACUUUAUGGUCUUAUUUGGCUGUUUACCUCACUCACAAAAAUAACUGCCCUAUACAUGACUGUAUUUCAUUGUCCUAAUCUGGUUUCAUGUUUUUUGUUGUUAUUAUUUAGUGUAAAAACUGAAUGCUAACCCAUGUUCAUAUGUGCAUUUUUAAAAGCUAUACCUGUUGAAAUGUUGGAUAUUUUCACUAGCUCUCUUUUAGUCAUAUUAGCCUGUAAAAGUUUAUUGAAGACUAUUCAAUUACUGUACAUUGUUUCCUGCAAAAAAAAGUAUUGAAUUUUUUUCUGACCUCCCUUACUGAGAAUAAUGAAGACCUAGGAGAAUAAGGUACUUAUAUUUCAAAGUCUCUUAAAGUUAUUGCAUUUAUUUUCUUUCACAAAACAAAAGAAAGCAGGAAAGCAAAACCUAGUUUAAAUGAGUUGUUUUAACUAACUACUUCUUGACAGCUAAGAAAAAUUUCUUCCCAGUUGCCUUCUUUCCAACGUACACCAUCUAAUUCUUUCAUAGACAGUAAGAACACAUGGAGAGUGGGGAAGAAUGUAGCUUGCAGAAUUUAGUGAUUUAAUUGGUGGCCUUCUCAAGGGGUGCUACUGGAAUUUAGGCAGUUUCUACCAAAGUCACCCAAAACCGAACUUGAACUGGCUGCAUGAAGUUUUCCUACAUGUUUGUCAUCAAGAGUUCAAGCCGCUGCAGCACUUAGAGACCUGACCAUUCUACUGAAGAAAAGAAAUACUAUAGUAAACUCUAGUUGGUUGUGAAAUGAAUGUUUUCAAUUGCUAGAAGCUAAUGAUAAAAUUUUUCUAGUAAUACAUUGAUUUUUACAUUUACAGAUUUCCAUAGGAUUGACAAAGAUGCCUCUUCAUUUUUGAGAAAAGUCCCUUCAUUGCAAUAUUUUAUGAAAAGUUCUAUGUGUAACUAUUUGGUACAAAGUGUAAAUUUAGGUCUUCUUAAAAUGACUCUACCCUUAAAUAAUUUUGUUUUCAAGGGUCACGUCUCUUGGGUAAUGACUAACGUUCUCCUAGUGAUUAGUAAUAACAAUUAUGUAGAAUGGUGAUUCUUGGUGACUUUCUGUCCCACUGAAUGAAACAACAUAUUUCAAAAUCAAGACUCUGGGACAUUUGGUUCUUCUAAGUCACAUUUUUUCCCCAGUAUAUAAAGUCAAAUUUUUAUGUAAUUUUAUAUAAAUCACUUUUAAAUAAAAAAAAUUAAUAAAAUAUCAACAAGAAUAAUUGCUUAUUAGUGUCUUCUUGAAAUCUCUAAAUUACCAUUUGAAAAUUGUUUUUCAAUGUUUUUGGCUAUGUAAUCAUUAGAAUAAAAACUACGUUUCUGUUUAAUCAUUUGGACAUCUGGACCAAGC
rnacentral:lncRNA from 1 species